ensembl:lncRNA
CCGAACACUCAGCCAGUCAGGGUUGAUUUUCCAUGAGAGAACUGCAUCUGCUUCCUUCCAUUCUUCCACAGGAAACUGUGGAACACCGUCAGGGGCCACAGCAACCUCCCUCAAACCAGCAGUGAGCAAUCACUGGCCAGCACACACUCGCACAAUUACACACAUCUCUGCCCUACUAUAUACACCGUCUCAUUAUACUAUCAGCUCAAGAAGCUGUUGGCACAAAUUACCUCAGACCCAUUCACCCACACACACACUUUUAUAGUUUAGAAUAUUUAUCUGUUCUCUUGCCUUUCUUUACAUACAUAUAUCCUACAUCUAUGCCUGGUGACCUGUAUUAACAGCCAUCAGCCCUUUACAUGAGAACACGGCUAACGUCUCUGGAUUAAAGCCAUGGAUCUGCUCUUGUACUCUUCUAUUGUGCUCUGUGUGUCUCUCUCCCUCAUCUCAGCAGAAGAUAAAAUAAAGGAAAAGGAAACCAGCAGCACAUCAGCACCCUCUACGCCCUCGGCUGUCAGCACAGUGACCACAGCAAUGGCCAACACCAGCUCAGUCACUAAUACCACAACCACAGCAUCUGUAACACGCCACACAGAGGGCAAUACUACUUCCAGAAACUUCAGUACCAUCUCUCCCUCCAGCUCACCGGGACAACCCAAGCUGUUCAGCCCAACGUCAGCCGCAUUUACGUCUCACACCAGUGAGAGCUCUAAUACAAAAUCACGGCAAAUCACCGCCUCCUCUGCAGGGACCAAUCAAUCAGGUCAUGAGGUGCUAUUAGAAACUUCUACACCUGGGCAGGCCUCAAACAUUUCUUUAAGAAGAUCAACAGAUGAGCCCACAGCUGUCCCGCCAACACAGCCACCAGGCAACAGCCUCACUAUGUUAGCCUUCGGUGUGAUGAGCUUCAUUCUCGUUUUGAUUAUAGUUAUGAUCAUCUUAGUAACAGCUGUAAAUCUCAGAGGACGGUGUCAUAACACAAAGGAAGAAGGUGUUAAGAACUAUGACUCAGUGAUAUCAGAAAGCAAUUUGACCAGCACUGGAGAGAAAGAAAGCAUCACACUCGUCUCUGUGAGGUCCAUAAACACAGACGCUGACACUGAUUCACCACAGAUCUCAUCGGUUCACAGUACAAUACUGGACAGUGAGGACCAAGAACCCAGUAGAGAUCAUCUUCUCAGUGGCAGAGCACACUAAACUUCAAUCAUUCUACAGUAAUAGAGCUCUUCAUAAACAUGCCCCUUUGAGUCCAAUUACUCUAGAUUCUGGAACACCUGGUCACGUCAUGGAACUAGUAUCCGGAUUGUACUUUGAUAAGAUUUUAACCACCUGCAUUUACACUUAGUAGUCCACAAACUGCAUCUCAGGUUAAUUUGACUGAAUCUGAUUGCUGUCAGGAUGUAGUAUGCAAAAUCACAUAUUGCAAAGUUAUUAUUCGUUGUAUGGGGAGACUUGGUCACUUAAUGUGUCUUGAGUGUCAGCCAAACCACAUUUAAAUGCAGUAAGUACAAACUCACCCAAAAUGCAUUUAAAACAGGUCCAGUUCUGCUCACUCAAACACCUUCAGGAGGUGGUAUGAGAUGCAUUUGAGCCACAGGUUUUAGUAGUGAUAACACAUCCAGCUACACUAAUCCUACUAUAACUCAAACUCCAGUUAUUUUGGACAACAAGCAAAUUUGAAUAUUUAGUCCCCCACAGCAAACCAAGACAUAUUUAACUAUGAAAGGUAAAUGCAUGUGGCUAUAAUCUUAUCAGCAUAAAAUUCAGAAACUAAUCAGAUUAAGUCACCACGAGUUAAUUUUUUUUUUUUUUUUUUUGGAAAAUUCUGCAUGAAGGCUGGCCACUCAUUCCAGUGUAUACUUAAUAAUGAAUUACAAUGUUGUUUUAUCAAAAUGUCUUCAAAAUUCAGUUACUAAAGUGUCAGCAGUACCAUUCAUAUUUGUUGGGUGAAAUUGUGAAAGGACUUGUUAACUUAUUGACAGUAAGUGUUUUUGAUUAACUCUAGUUUCAUAUAGAUAGACAACAUUAGAUAAAUAAAAUCAAACAAGACCCAGGAAGAAUAGAUUGA